AGGAAUGUGGCUUAGUGGUAGAGUGCUUGCUUAGCAUGCAUGAAGCCCUAGGUUUGAUUCCUCAGUACUA
rnacentral:tRNA from 1 species